AGACCUAAAAAGAUACGCGGUAAAAAAAAAAAAUCUGUUCUUAUCAGUUUAAUAUCUGAUACGCCCCCGAUUUGGGGGCAACGUAUUAAACACAUUUUUAGAACAGGGAGCCGAAUUAGGGGCUCGCUCCGUUCGCUCCACGCUCUUAUCGAGACGUUCGCCGCUCUUACCAUCUCGAUAAGAGAUUCCAAU